rnacentral:lncRNA from 1 species
GCUAAUGGAGAUGAUGAAAGCCACUGAUUCUUUAGCAAUAUAAAACCAUUUUGCUUGAGAUGUUGUUUAUAUAUUUAAAGAAAACCAUUUGUUUUUAUUGUGAUUAAAAUCAGUUUCAGUUGCCUUUCCGUAAAUCAAUCCAUCCUGUUACAUACAAAAGGAAAGAUCAUAUUAAAUGCAAUAUUAAAGACAUAACCCAGUGAAAAUAUACAUGACCUUUAAUAGAGCUCAGAAAGCAGGAUGGUCAUAGAUAGGGUCUGAAAAUAGACUUAUCAAACCAUGGGAAAAUUACUGAUUUCCAGGGAGAUGCCUCUUCUGAGCGUGAAGUGACAAGGGCAUUUGGAAAAAAAUACAAAGUCUGUUGGGGUGGCUUUGUUAUUGUGAAAUAUUUUGGCUAUGCAUUUUAAUAAAAUAUGGAUAAAUAUGCUCUGUUCGGUUCCAUGUCACAAGCCCUCUGAGAUACCCAGCCUUAAAAUUAUAUGGUUAUCAGUAGAACCAUUGUUUUUAAUACUGUAAUCUAGUUUUCUGAAAAAUGGAUUUUACAGUGCGCUUUAAGAGCUUUUGUAAAGAAAUGACUCUGUUUAUCACCAGGGCCUGUCUAGCCAGCUCUUUAUAAAACCCGUUUUACUUCCAGGUAUCUGUGAAUACAGCAUGACGGGCAGCAGAAGGAAGAGUCAUGAAGGAAGGACGUGCAGUCCCACAGAUGCUGAAGCACAGGAUCAAUGUCACAGAGGUGCCACCACAAAGGGAGAGCGAAGCCGAGGAGCAAGGGGCUAGACCAUCAGAAGCAGGAAGGUCGGCCUCUACCAGACAACGGAACCGCAAGAAGGAGGAAGAGGAGCCUAUCUGUGUUGGUUUGAGAAUUCGGAAGAUUAUAGUCCCACAGGAAAAAAAAAAAAAGGAGGUUCCUGUGGCACCUUGAAGAUGAGCAAAUUUCAUUUGGCAUAAGUGUUCAUGGACUGCAUGCUACCAGCUGCUACAGGACUCUGUGUUGCACCAGAACUGCACCAGAAUCACAUGGCUACCUCUUUGAAAAAAUAGUCCAGGAAAAUAUUUAUUUUCCAAGGUUUGGAAAAAUACAAUGAGGAAGAAGUGGUUCAGGGAGCAAUUGUGUGGACAGGAAAAGGGCUUGGCCCCUCCCCUCUGUUAAUAUUUACUACACGUGAAAUUUCCUCACCCACAGAUUAGAGGGAUUUGAUGGAGGAAUUGUUUCCUAGUAUGGAUUUGCCAGAAAUGCUAUCUCUGGCAUGAACUAUGGGUUGCAUGGCACCAUAAGAUGGGAUAUAAAGUCUGAAAAAAAUGUUAUUCUUCUUCACAAAUAGUUAAACUACCAUCUUUAAACAAUACAUUGGUAUUUCCAUUUGGAGCAUCAUAUACAUGUUUACAUUAUGCAAUUUUUUUUCUCUAUUGAAAGAUGUUACUUAGAUCUCUCCUCCAAACGUCAAGUGUCAGAACACAUUAUUAUGGCAAAAUAGAGAUUUUGUGUAUGGAUUUGACUGAAUAUAUCGAGAAAGAAAAUAAAUUAAGUGCACUCAUUUCCA